rnacentral:rRNA from 1 species
CGAGGGGCAGCGGGAAGGUUAGCUUGCUAAUCUUUGCCGGCGACCGGCGCACGGGUGAGUAACACGUAUGCAACCUGUCCGGUACAGGGGGAUAAGCGGCGGAAACGCCGUCUAAUACCGCGUGACAACCCGAGGGGGCAUCCCCUUGGGUUCAAAGGAGAGAUCCGGUACCGGCUGGGCAUGCGGCGCAUUAGCUAGUUGGCGGGGCAACGGCCCACCAAGGCGACGAUGCGUAGGGGUUCUGAGAGGAAGGUCCCCCACACUGGAACUGAGACACGGUCCAGACUCCUACGGGAGGCAGCAGUGAGGAAUAUUGGUCAAUGGGCGCAAGCCUGAACCAGCCAAGUCGCGUGAGGGAAGACGGCCCUACGGGUUGUAAGCCUCUUUUGCCGGGGAGCAAGCCUGAGCACGUGUGCCCAGGCGGAGAGUACCCGGAGAAAAAGCAUCGGCUAACUCCCUGCCAGCAGCCGCGGUAAUACGGAGGAUGCGAGCGUUAUCCGGAUUUAUUGGGUUUAAAGGGUGCGCAGGCGGGCUGUUAAGCUGGCGGUAAAAAUUCAGGGCUCAACCCUGUCGAGCCGUCGGAACUGGCAGUCUUGAGUGGGCGAGAAGUAUGCGGAAUGCGUGGUGUAGCGGUGAAAUGCAUAGAUAUCACGAAGAACGCCGAUUGCGAAGGCAGCAUACCGGCGCCCGACUGACGCUGAGGCACGAAAGCGUGGGG